rnacentral:rRNA from 1 species
UACGUAGGGUGCAAGCGUUGUCCGGAAUUAUUGGGCGUAAAGAGCUCGUAGGCGGUUCGUCGCGUCGGCUGUGAAAUCCCGAGGCUCAACUUCGGGUCUGCAGUCGAUACGGGCGGACUGGAGUUCGGCAGGGGAGACUGGAAUUCCUGGUGUAGCGGUGAAAUGCGCAGAUAUCAGGAGGAACACCGGUGGCGAAGGCGGGUCUCUGGGCCGAUACUGACGCUGAGGAGCGAAAGCGUGGGGAGCAAACAGG